rnacentral:rRNA from 1 species
UACGAAGGGGGCUAGCGUUGUUCGGAAUCACUGGGCGUAAAGGGCGCGUAGGCGGCUUUAUAAGUCGGGGGUGAAAGCCUGUGGCUCAACCACAGAAUUGCCUUCGAUACUGUAGAGCUUGAGACCGGAAGAGGUAAGUGGAACUGCGAGUGUAGAGGUGAAAUUCGUAGAUAUUCGCAAGAACACCAGUGGCGAAGGCGGCCCACUCGGCCCGGUACUGACGCUGAGGAGCGAAAGCGUGGGGAGCGAACAGG